AAAGAAACUAAACGAUUCUCUUAGUAACUGCGAGUGAAAAGAGAUUAGCCCAACAUCGAAGCCUCCAUGUAUUUGCAUGGUUGGCAAUGUGAUGUAAUGGUGUUCGAUUUCACAGGCUGGCUAACUUGAAGUCCAUAUUUGACUGUGGCUUGUGCGUAUGCACCCAGAGAUGGUGAAAGGCCCGUUCAAGUUGGUUUUCAGAUAUGAAAGUUUGUGUUAAUUUGUUCGCCAAUGAGUCGGAUUGCUUGAGAGUGCAGUCCAAAUGUGGUGGUAAACUCCAUCAAAGGCUAAAUACCUGUACGAGUCCGAUAGACAACAAGUACCGUGAGGGAAAGUUGAAAAGUACUCUGAAGAGAGAGUAAAUAGUACGUGAAACUACAUGGAGGUUAAACAGAUAGAGUCAAGCUGCGUGCUGCUGUUCAUUGCACGAGUCAUAGAAGUUUGCUUCUUACAUGCUGAUGGCCUGUCGCUCGACAUGUUCACUUGUGGACAUCUAAGGUGAUAUGAUGCCUGAAGGUUGUUGGUAUGUGAGUGUGACUCGUGUUUAUGGCAGUGGCGAUUGCCACAGUCAAUUUGCUGACUAACUAUGGGCAUUCAGCGAUUGCGCAGGUAGAACUAAGUUCACUUGUGCAGUGGUGAAACAGUUGGCAAACAGUCAUGCUUGCAUGAUUGAUUGUGAAAAAGGGCUACGGCCUGUUGAAUGCUCUUCAGUUAUGAAGUGGACUGGUGAAAUGUGCUCGUUAAUUUCAAAAGAUUUGACGACGUUGUCGGAAAGUUUUAUGAAUGAGUGUAUGAACUGUGGUAAUGUGGUAG
rnacentral:rRNA from 1 species